rnacentral:rRNA from 1 species
GACGAACCGUCCAAACGUUGUUCGGAAUCACUGGGCUUAAAGGGCGCGUAGGCGGGUGACCAAGUCCGGGGUGAAAUCUUUCGGCUCAACCGGAAAACUGCCUUGGAUACUGGUCGUCUCGAGGGAGGUAGGGGUCUGUGGAACUGAUGGUGGAGCGGUGAAAUGCGUUGAUAUCAUCAGGAACGCCGGUGGCGAAAGCGACGGACUGGACCUCCACUGACGCUGAGGCGCGAAAGCUAGGGGGAGCAAACGGG